CAUUAUAUUAUUUAGUUCUAGGAAUUAUAUUAUGACAUUGUCUUUUGAAAGAGUUUCUUUAUUCUUCUUUGCAGUGUUUCUAACUGGUCUGUUGAAAACCUCUUUUUUAUAGGGAGGUCAGGGUUGAACUUUGUUUAGAGGACAAUGCCUCGGAAGAGUUUGUCAUAGGCUCCAGAAGGGAUGAUGGAAAGGUGUAUGCAGGCUGUGGUUCCUGGAUUAAUGAAAAAGCCUGGGGAUGUUUGUUCAGCGCUUCUACGGACUCUAUGUUCUCUAGAAGUGCUGCUACUGUAUUUUGGACCGCCGAACAACUGAAAACCAGGAGUGUCACUGGAACACUUUCGAACAAGGCACGGCAUCUUGGUUCCACUGAGGCAAAGCCAGCGCUGACACCAGAGAAAGUAUCUUCUCUAAAGGUAUUGUUCGCCAUCUACAUGGGUGACAUGCCAAAGGAGGUGUCGGACUAGAGAAUGAAGGCGACUGAAAACACUUGUCGCAGAAGCUUGGCGAUAUGCAGCGGCGGUGAACUCUC